UAAUACGUAGGGUGCAAGCGUUGUCCGGAAUUAUUGGGCGUAAAGAGCUCGUAGGCGGUCUGUCGCGUCGGCUGUGAAAACUCGGGGCUCAACCCCGAGCUUGCAGUCGAUACGGGCAGGCUAGAGUUCGGCAGGGGAGACUGGAAUUCCUGGUGUAGCGGUGAAAUGCGCAGAUAUCAGGAGGAACACCGGUGGCGAAGGCGGGU
rnacentral:rRNA from 1 species